rnacentral:rRNA from 1 species
UGCAGUCGAGCGGUAGAGAGGUGCUUGCACCUCUUGAGAGCGGCGGACGGGUGAGUAAUACCUAGGAAUCUGCCUGGUAGUGGGGGAUAACGUUCGGAAACGGACGCUAAUACCGCAUACGUCCUACGGGAGAAAGCAGGGGACCUUCGGGCCUUGCGCUAUCAGAUGAGCCUAGGUCGGAUUAGCUAGUUGGUGAGGUAAUGGCUCACCAAGGCUACGAUCCGUAACUGGUCUGAGAGGAUGAUCAGUCACACUGGAACUGAGACACGGUCCAGACUCCUACGGGAGGCAGCAGUGGGGAAUAUUGGACAAUGGGCGAAAGCCUGAUCCAGCCAUGCCGCGUGUGUGAAGAAGGUCUUCGGAUUGUAAAGCACUUUAAGUUGGGAGGAAGGGCAUUAACCUAAUACGUUAGUGUUUUGACGUUACCGACAGAAUAAGCACCGGCUAACUCUGUGCCAGCAGCCGCGGUAAUACAGAGGGUGCAAGCGUUAAUCGGAAUUACUGGGCGUAAAGCGCGCGUAGGUGGUUUGUUAAGUUGAAUGUGAAAUCCCCGGGCUCAACCUGGGAACUGCAUCCAAAACUGGCAAGCUAGAGUAUGGUAGAGGGUAGUGGAAUUUCCUGUGUAGCGGUGAAAUGCGUAGAUAUAGGAAGGAACACCAGUGGCGAAGGCGACUACCUGGACUGAUACUGACACUGAGGUGCGAAAGCGUGGGGAGCAAACAGGAUUAGAUACCCUGGUAGUCCACGCCGUAAACGAUGUCAACUAG